UACUGGCCUGCAAAAUCCCAACU
rnacentral:miRNA from 1 species